rnacentral:rRNA from 1 species
ACGUAGGGUGCGAGCGUUAAUCGGAAUUACUGGGCGUAAAGCGGGCGCAGACGGUUACUUAAGCAGGAUGUGAAAUCCCCGGGCUCAACCCGGGAACUGCGUUCUGAACUGGGUGACUCGAGUGUGUCAGAGGGAGGUAGAAUUCCACGUGUAGCAGUGAAAUGCGUAGAGAUGUGGAGGAAUACCGAUGGCGAAGGCAGCCUCCUGGGACAACACUGACGUUCAUGCCCGAAAGCGUGGGUAGCAAACAGGAUUAGAUACCCUGGUAGUCCACGCCCUAAACGAUGUCAAUUAGCUGUUGGGCAACCUGAUUGCUUGGUAGCGUAGCUAACGCGUGAAAUUGACCGCCUGGGGAGUACGGUCGCAAGAUUAAAACUCAAAGGAAUUGACGGGGACCCGCACAAGCGGUGGAUGAUGUGGAUUAAUUCGAUGCAACGCGAAGAACCUUACCUGGUCUUGACAUGUACGGAAUCCUCCGGAGACGGAGGAGUGCCUUCGGGAGCCGUAACACAGGUGCUGCAUGGCUGUCGUCAGCUCGUGUCGUGAGAUGUUGGGUUAAGUCCCGCAACGAGCGCAACCCUUGUCAUUAGUUGCCAUCAUUCAGUUGGGCACUCUAAUGAGACUGCCGGUGACAAGCCGGAGGAAGGUGGGGAUGACGUCAAGUCCUCAUGGCCCUUAUGACCAGGGCUUCACACGUCAUACAAUGGUCGGUACAGAGGGUAGCCAAGCCGCGAGGCGGAGCCAAUCUCACAAAACCGAUCGUAGUCCGGAUUGCACUCUGCAACUCGAGUGCAUGAAGUCGGAAUCGCUAGUAAUCGCAGGUCAGCAUACUGCGGUGAAUACGUUCCCGGGUCUUGUACACACCGCCCGUCACACCAUGGGAGUGGGGGAUACCAGAAGUAGGUAGGGUAACCGCAAGGAGCCCGCUUACCACGGUAUGCUUCAUGACUGGGGUGAAGUCGUAACAAGGUAGCCGUAGGGGAACC